rnacentral:rRNA from 1 species
UACGAAGGGGGCUGGCGUUGUUCGGAAUUACUGGGCGUAAAGCGCGCGCAGGCGGUCCUUCAAGUCAGAGGUGAAAGCCCAGAGCUCAACUCUGGAAUGGCCUUUGAGACUAGAGGACUUGGGUACGGGAGAGGUGAGUGGAAUUCCGAGUGUAGAGGUGAAAUUCGUAGAUAUUCGGAAGAACACCAGUGGCGAAGGCGGCUCACUGGCCCGUUACCGACGCUCAGGCGCGACAGCGUGGGGAGCAAACAGG